rnacentral:pre_miRNA from 1 species
AUAUGAAUCACUGAAGAUGUUGUUAAGAUACAGACUCUGACAUAGCAGAGCUGGGCUGGAGCCUGAGAGUCUGUAUUUCCAAAAAGUUCUCAGGUGCUACUGGG